UACAGAGGGUGCGAGCGUUAAUCGGAAUUACUGGGCGUAAAGGGCGCGUAGGCGGUCAUGUGAGUGUUAUGUGAAAGCCCCGGGCUUAACCUGGGAAGCGCAUGGCAAACUAUAUGACUGGAGUAUGGGAGAGGGUGGCGGAAUUUCCGGUGUAGCGGUGAAAUGCGUAGAGAUCGGAAGGAACGUCGAUGGCGAAGGCAGCCACCUGGCCUAAUACUGACGCUGAGGCGCGAAAGCGUGGGGAGCGAACAGG
rnacentral:rRNA from 1 species